GUGACAUUGUGAAGUUUAACGUUUUUCUUGAGAGUUGAUUAAAUUUUAGUAUUAAAGGAAUAAUGGCGUAUUUUUAAAUAUAUCAAUAAUUUACCUUCAGUGUGCCUCUUUUUGUUUUAAUGUGAAUUUCGGGACGUUUGUUUUGUUUGUGCUAGUGUUUAUAAUGAAAAUUUAAGUGGUAAACGUAGAUUAGUGAAAAAACAUAUAGUGACUGAUAAUAGUGUUCAUUAAGAAAAAAAAGUGAUUAUCAAUCAUCAAGUCCAACAAUAAGAGCCAGGCGGAAAUGGGUUUUGUUGAAGGAGAAAUUGCAGUUUUUCAAAACCUUCAGUAGGAUUUUGAUCGAAAUUCAUCAGAGCUUGAUUGUGAAGAGUUACAGCAUCUAAUUCGUAUUCGGCUCUCGGGGGCAUAUCUGUGAGUGCUUCUUUAGCAGAAUCAACUAAAAAUGAAAUAUAUGGACGUUAAUCACCCGAUGAAGAUUCAUUGUCAAAUAAUUCACAAUUUAUAAUAAAAAUAGUUAUUAAGAAUCACAAUAGAUGACCAAAAUGAAUUCGUUUGUAGAGGAGGUUAUAAUCAUGAGGCCGUUCGAUGUAAAAAAUUUAUUAGCCUACAUCUCUGUCAUUAUUGGUGAGCUUGGAGUGGGACUAACGGAAAGGUAUUUUCAUGAGACGAGAACGUGAACCCUUAUUUUGAGAAAAAGAGGGCAAAUAUUAUUCGGAG